rnacentral:rRNA from 1 species
AUUGAACGCUGGCGGCAGGCCUAAAACAUGCAAGUCGCACGAGUGACGGACUGGUGAGUAAUGUCUGGGAAACUGCCUGAUGGAGGGGGAUAACUACUGGAAACGGUAGCUAAUACCGCAUACCAUCGGAUUGGCCCAGAUGGGAGUAGCUAUUAGGUGGGGGAAAGGCUCACCUAGGCGACGAUCCCUAGCUGGUCUGAGAGGAUGACCGGCCACACUGGAACUGAGACAUGGUCCAGACUCCUACGGGAGGAAGCAGGGGGGAAUAUUGCGCAAUGGGCGCAAGCCUGAUGCAUCCAUGCUGCGUGUAUGAAGAAGGCCGUCGGGUUGUAAAGUACUUUCAGCGGGGAGGCGUUACCCGCAGAAGAAGCACCGGCUAACUCCGUGCCAGCAGCCGCGGUAAUUC